GCAAGUCGAGGGGUAACAGGGAGUGCUUGCACUCCGCUGACGACCGGCGCACGGGUGCGCACCGCGUAUGGAAUCUGCCUCUUGCAGGGGAAUCGCCCAGGGAUACUUGGAUUAAUGCCCCGUAGUAACAUUUGACCGCCUUGUCUAAUGGUUAAAGCCUUCGGGCGGCAAGAGAUGGCCAUGCGUCCCAUUAGCUUGAUGGUAAGGUAACGGCUUACCAUGGCUACGAUGGGUAGGGGCCCUGAGAGGGGGAUC
rnacentral:rRNA from 1 species